rnacentral:misc_RNA from 1 species
UCUCUCUCUCUCUCUCUCUCCAGGGAGAUAAACUCGCAGUAGCAGUAACGGAAAGAGUGUUUUUAUAAUUCUGCCAUAAAUGCCUCCUUUGCUUCGUUGGCACCCAUUACUCUCUCUCUCUCUGCCUUUUUUCCAUUACAUAACUGACCUAUCAAGCAAAGAAGCCCGUCAACAGUACUAUAGCAUACAACCAUGGUCCAGUGUUUUCCUUGCAGACGGCACUUCUCUUUUUACCAUACUCCCUUUUAAUUUCUCCAUCUGGGCUUGAUCACCAACGCCGCAUAAGCCACACCCAGAUUCCAAAAUCUUCUCUUUUUGGUUCAAAUGUCUAACAGCCCAUAUCAGCAAGACCAUGAAAAGGUGCAAUUCUCAGAAAUUUUUAAGAAAUUCAAGCGUUUGAGACUUUUUGAACCAUCUGUAGGGAUUUUGGGGUUCUUUUUUGUUACAGUUUGUGUGAUUUGUUGCUUCUUUUACUUAGAUUUCAGGUCUGUAAUUAAUAAGGGGUAUAUAGUUCCAGGUAAAUCAGAAAGGUUUAUGUGGCUGCAUGUUAAUGGGUCAAGUCCGAAUAGAAGAGUUGAGUUUUUGGGAGAGGAUGGUGAUGGGUGUGAUGUAUUUGAUGGGGAAUGGUUGUGGGAUGAGACUUAUCCAUUGUAUCACUCUAAAGAUUGUAGCUUUUUGGAUGAGGGGUUUAGGUGCACUGAAAAUGGCAGGCCUGAUUUGUUCUACACCAAGUGGAGAUGGCAACCCAAGAACUGCAACUUGCCCAGAUUUGAUGCUAAAACGAUGUUGGAGAAACUGCGCAACAAACGGCUAGUGUUUGCUGGAGAUUCCAUUGGAAGAAAUCAAUGGGAGUCCCUCCUCUGCAUGUUAUCUUCUGCAGUUUCUAAUAAGGACUCAAUAUAUGAAGUGAAUGGCAGUCCAAUUACCAAGCAUAAAGGAUUUUUGGUAUUCAAGUUUCGGGAUUAUAAUUGCACUAUGGAAUACUAUCGGGCUCCAUUUCUUGUAUUGCAGAGCCGGCCUCCUGCUGGGGUUCCAAAGAAUGUUAGAUUAACCCUCAAAUUGGAUCAAAUGGAUUGGAAUUCUGGCAAGUGGAGAGAUGCUGACAUGCUGGUCCUCAACAUGGGGCAUUGGUGGAAUUACGAGAAAACCAUAAGAGGAGGUACUUACUUUCAAGAAGGGAGAGAGGUGAAAUUGGAAAUGAGGGUUGAACAAGCAUAUCAUAGGUCAAUUGAGACUGUGUUGCAGUGGAUACAGAAUAAAGUGAACACAAGCAAGACCCAAGUUUUCUUUCGUACGUUUGCCCCUGUACAUUUCAGGUAUGUUACUACACUAUUCUUUUCGCACCAACUUUGUUGGUGUUAUAUGGUAUCUUUUUCUUUCCUUUUUCUGUUCUUAAUUUUUGAGGCUAUGCAUCUAAACUAAAAGUUGUUUGAUCUUGAAACUUUGGGCUAUUUGGGAAGGGUUGCCCUCGAUGGCCCAGGGAACAUCUGCUUGUCCUUGACAUCGAGCUAAGCCUAGGUUGUCAAGAACGCUGCAGUAUUUCAUUUAGGGAUGAAUUUUGUUUCAAAACUUCUUUGAGUUCUUGAGUAGUGUCAGUGUUCAUAUAGACUUGCUGAGACUUCCAAAUUCUUAGUUCUAAGAUCUGAUAUUUGAACUCUUCAAAUGCACAA